rnacentral:sRNA from 1 species
UGAGCAUCUACAAUACGCAGGUGUUCA